UCCUCCGUAGUAAGUGGUUAGUAUCCGCGCCUGUCACGUGCAAGACCCGGGUUCAAUUCCCGGGCCGAGGAG